CCUACGGGUGGCAGCAGUGAGGAAUAUUGGUCAAUGGCCGGAAGGCUGAACCAGCCAUGCCGCGUGAAGGUCAGUGCCCUAUGGGCGUUAAACUUCUUUUGUGCGGGAGCAAUAAUGGUCACGUGUGGCCAGACGAGAGUACCGUACGAAUAAGCAUCGGCUAACUCCGUGCCAGCAGCCGCGGUAAUACGGGGGAUGCAAGCGUUAUCCGGAUUUAUUGGGUUUAAAGGGUGCGUAGGCUGUGAGGUAAGUCAGCGGUGAAAUGCCCCCGCGCAACGGGGUGAAGUGCCAUUGAUACUGCCUGGCUGGAGUGCGGAUGCCGUGGGAGGAAUGUGUGGUGUAGCGGUGAAAUGCAUAGAUAUCACACAGAACACCGAUUGCGAAGGCAUCUCACGAGUCCGCGAUUGACGCUGAUGCACGAAAGCGUGGGUAUCAAACAGGAUUAGAUACCCUUGUAGUC
rnacentral:rRNA from 1 species